rnacentral:rRNA from 1 species
CCUACGGGGGGCAGCAGUGAGGAAUAUUGGUCAAUGGACGAGAGUCUGAACCAGCCAAGUAGCGUGAAGGAUGACUGCCCUAGGGGUUGUAAACUUCUUUUAUAUGGGAAUAAAACGUUCCACGUGUGGGAUUUUGUAUGUACCAUAUGAAUAAGGAUCGGCUAACUCCGUGCCAGCAGCCGCGGUAAUACGGAGGAUCCGAGCGUUAUCCGGAUUUAUUGGGUUUAAGGGGAGCGUAGGUGGAUUGUUAAGUCAGUUGUGAAAGUUUGCGGCUCAACCGUAAAAUUGCAGUUGAAACGGGCAGUCUUGAGUACAGUAGAGGUGGGCGGAAUUCGUGGUGUAGCGGUGAAAUGCUUAGAUAUCACGAAGAACUCCGAUUGCGAAGGCAGUUCACUGGACUGCAACUGACACUGAGGCUCGAAAGUGUGGGUAUCAAACAGGAUUAGAUACCCUUGUAGUC